UACGUAGGGUGCAAGCGUUGUCCGGAAUUAUUGGGCGUUAAGAGCUCGUAGGCGGUUUGUCGCGUCUGCUGUGAAAACUCGGGGCUUAACCCCGGGCCUGCAGUGGGUACGGGCAGACUAGAGUGCGGUAGGGGAGACUGGAAUUCCUGGUGUAGCGGUGAAAUGCGCAGAUAUCAGGAGGAACACCGGUGGCGAAGGCGGGUCUCUGGGCCGUAACUGACGCUGAGGAGCGAAAGCAUGGGGAGCGAACAGG
rnacentral:rRNA from 1 species